UACAGAGGGUGCGAGCGUUGUUCGGAAUUACUGGGCGUAAAGCGUGCGCAGGCGGUUGGGCAAGACAGAUGUGAAAUCCCCGGGCUUAACCUGGGAAUGGCAUUUGUGACUGUUCGGCUAGAGUGUGUCAGAGGGGGGUAGAAUUCCACGUGUAGCAGUGAAAUGCGCAGAUAUCAGGAGGAACACCGGUGGCGAAGGCGGGUCUCUGGGCCGUAACUGACGCUGAGGAGCGAAAGCAUGGGGAGCGAACAGG
rnacentral:rRNA from 1 species